UACAGAGGUCCCGAGCGUUGUUCGGAUUCACUGGGCGUAAAGGGUGCGUAGGUGGCAGGGCAAGUCUGAUGUGAAAUCUCCGGGCUUAACCCGGAAACUGCAUUGAAUACUAUCCUGCUUGAGGGUUGGAGGGGGGACUGGAAUUCUCGGUGUAGCAGUGAAAUGCGUAGAUAUCGAGAGGAACACCAGUGGCGAAGGCGAGUCCCUGGACAACACCUGACACUGAGGCACGAAAGCUAGGGGAGCAAACAGG
rnacentral:rRNA from 1 species